UUUUUGAACCAUAUCAAAGAAAACCCCAAAGCCAAGUGUAAAGGCCAUAAAACUCGUCUCCCACCGUCUUCGUUUGUUCCUCUUCUCUGUCUGUCAACAGAACAGCCGAAUGCUCCUCUGCAACAUUCUCAUUUCUAGUUGAAAGCGUUCAAGAAACGAAAAAGUUCCUCUUCUUCUCUGGGUUGGGCCUUUGGAUUGGCCAUCCAUGAAAUUUAGGUGUCUCAUGUCUCAACUAUGGUGAUUUUAGAUGGUGAUUUUAUGGCAUGCUACAAGCUGAUUACUUUUAUAUCAUCCAAGGUGUGGAUUACUGCUCUUCUUUUAGGAGUUUUGAAAUUUGGAGAAAUUUGAUGGGUUGAUGAACUGCUUGCCUCUUGGGGCAGAAUGGGGGUUUGGAAUCUGGAAUCUUUGCUUUUAUGCUGUGGACUUGCAGAGCUUGUGGAGAUCUUUUUUGGAAAAGAAUUCCGAAGAGGAGUUUGGUGGCUGUAGCACAAAGACUGUUAUAUCACAUGGUAGAGGAUUAUGGAUUUCAGAUAACAGUUGGUAGGCAAGUGCAUUUUUUUCAUGGUAUGACGUGUCUAAUUGCCCCUUGAAGAAUGCUUUUCUUGAUUUGGCAGCUGAUAAAAAUGGUUGUGUGUGAUGGAGAUGGUAUCUCUCAGAUCCCUAUAUUUUUAGAGAAUCUGAAUGAAUGAGAGCUGGUUUUUGUGUUGGAUUCCUUUUAAGACUUUAAUAGUGGUGAAGGUUGUAGAAUUGGGGUUCGAUGACUAAUUGAGUUGGACUCUCAAUAGGGGAAGAAAUUUGAUGCAAAGACCUUUUUAAAAUUCUUUUCAGUGGAAAAGUUUGGGCAGGCACACCACACCACCCCCCCACCAACCCCACCCCCCCAACUUUUUAUUUGGGUUGUGCUCAUCAGAGAGUUUUGAUGAUUACUUGAUGAAAAUGGGAAGCUUCUGGUUAGUGUUAAUAGAUGCCAUGUGUAAGAGCUAAAAUGAACCAUGUAUCAUUUACAUUUUUAUUGUUCAGUGACCAGGGAGCUGUGGGAUUACAUAUGUUAUAUCUUUGUGCUCUCAUGCUGAUGCUGAAAAGUGUCAUUGACGUUCAAUUGCAGGUUUAUUAUAAUAGAGAGGUUUGGUAGGCAGUACCUUUUCAUUUGUCCUUGUGUUUGUGUUAAGAGAAAUAUCAUAUAGCAUUUGAAGAGUAGCACUGUGUCAAGAAGUUAAAGGAAUUCAUCGAGAGGAUUAUUCUAUUUCUAGGGGACAUAUAAAUACUUCUGUUUUUUUAAAAAUUGGGUCUUCUUCUCUUUACAAUUUCAAUGGGAUGCACCGUCUCUAUAUGACUUAUGUUAGCACCUCGUAACAAUUUUAUUUUAAUUAUUUAUGAGGUGUUUUUAAUUUUUUCAAACUUCUCUUAGAGAGUAAUAUUGGAGGUGAGGGGAUGAAAUGGGGUUUAUCCAAAAUGGGGGUGUUUAAGGAUAAACCAUACUAAAGGGAAUCCAUUUGGUGUUCAAUCCUUGCUCUUUCCAUGGAAAGAAAUUUUGUGUAAUGCUGCCCCACCUAAGGCAGCUUCUUUUGCUUGUACAGCAUCUUUGGGUAAGGUUUAAACAAUAGAUAAUGUAAUUGGACAACUCGCACUUGUCCAUCAGUUGUGUUUGUGAAAGCAAGCAGAGGAAUCUGUAAAUCACUAUUUCUUUGUGCAUGUUUGCUAGGAAAUGAUGCUAUUUUUCAUCCUCUCUCUCUCUCUCUCUCUCUCUCUCUCUCUCUCUCUCUCUCUCUCUCACACACACACACACACACACACACACACGCAGGCACGCAGGCACGCAGAGUCUUUUUGGAAUUCCUUGGGUGAUGAUAGCUACAGCUGAUGUAUAUGUGGAGUCCAUGUAUGGUUUGUCAAGAAGACUAAUAACAUAAGUUAGAGUCCACCGUUGCGUUCUUCAUGGUAUCCGUGGCUGGAGCAAAUUUUUUGUUAUUUUGAGGGGAUAGAGCAUUCAUCAUGGAAGUGAAACAUGACUUUUUAAGGCUACCGUUUGAUUGGAAGAUGAAGAUAGUCUGACUUUUUCUUUUUCUUUAUUCCCCAUUUUGGAUUACGUUCUUCCUUGCGUUCACUUGGUGUUUUGAAAUUAAAACCUUAUGCAUUGAAAAACUUGUCUUAAAAAUUAAAAGGAAGUGCAUGAAGCUCUAGAGUUUGAUUCCUGUGUUUAAACUGACAUUUUUUUUUCCUUCUUGGAAACAGAGGUUGGUGCAACUUUUGGGUUUGCCACUUCAGUAAUAUAUGAAACUCCUAUUUCAAACAUAUAAGAGGGUGAAUUACUCUGGGACUUUAUACGAACGUGCACCAGAUAUUAGUGAGGUUGUUUCAGAUGUGUACAAAAUGCUACUCUCAUUGCAGCUGCAGAAAAGCUCAACUAAACUCAAAGGAAAAUAAGAAUACUGAUGAUUUGCCAUCCUUACUUUUUCCAAGAGGUUCUUCCUGGCUGUCAGCAGUCAGUAUAAUGUCUGAAAGUAGUGCACCUAAUCUCGUAUAUAAAAGGAGGAAAUUAUGAAGAAACUCUGUCACCAUAUUUUCAGAAGAUCCAGAAAAGGAAGAGAGAAAGAAGAGAGAGAUCCUAACCACAAUUAUCAUAAUUUAUAUGAAAUUGAUCACAUUGAUCGCAAAUAGAAUUCCAAACCAGUUGACAACUCAUGCGAAAUUUUACCAUAGCCUUGCUUUUGGUAUAAUUUUUAGUUGAUGAUCAAUCCCAUGUGUAAUUCUUGUUUCUCUACUGCAACUAGUCAGUCCAAAUUAACAACUCUUCGGCCAAAUCCGGUUUUCAUUGCUUUCUUUCAGUUUAACUUGGUUUGUUUUCAUGUUAUGUAUCCACUCCAUAACAAGAUUUGUUGCUAUUACUUUUUUUAUAGUAGUGAUUCAGACUUGUUAUUCUAUUUCACAACUGUUUAUGAUUGAA